ACUCCUACGGGAGGCAGCAGUGGGGAAUCUUGCACAAUGGGGGAAACCCUGAUGCAGCGACGCCGCGUGAGCGAUGAAGCCCUUCGGGGUGUAAAGCUCUUUUGGCGGGGACAAUCAUGAUGGUACCCGUCGAAUAAGCUGCGGCUAACUACGUGCCAGCAGCCGCGGUAAUACGUAGGCAGCAAGCGUUGUUCGGAAUUACUGGGCGUAAAGAGUGUGUAGGCGGUGCUCCCAGUCUGUUGUGAAAUCUCCCGGCUUAACUGGGAGGGUGCAGCGGAAACUAGAGUGCUAGAGGGUGGGAGAGGUAAGCGGAAUUCCUGGUGUAGCGGUGAAAUGCGUAGAUAUCAGGAGGAACACCGGUGGCGAAGGCGGCUACCUGGACAGAAACUGACGCUGAGGCACGAAAGCUAGGGGAGCAAACAGGAUUAGAUACCCUGGUAGUCCUAGCCCUAAACGAUGAAUGCUUGGUGUGGCGGGUAUCGAUCCCUGCCGUGCCGAAGCUAACGCAUUAAGCAUUCCGCCUGGGGAGUACGGUCGCAAGACUGAAACUUAAAGGAAUUGACGG
rnacentral:rRNA from 1 species